rnacentral:lncRNA from 1 species
CCAAAUGCUUGUGCGACUUGUUCCAUCUUUUUGGUUUCUGAUCUAAGUCUAUAUGAAUAAUAGUUUGGUAUCGUCGUGUUUAGAAUUGAUGUUAGUUUUGCUGGUCACGUUUAGUGAAAAGGUUCUAGAAAACUUGUUGCUGUAUGGAAAAGAGCUGGUAUUCAGGUGAUUAGCCCCACCACCACAUGUCCAUGUUCUUCUGACCUUUUAUGAUGGGUUUUUUGUAAAACUUCCUGUGCACCAAUGAUUUAUCUCUUGAUUCUUCAUCGUGUUCGUAUGCUUGCCUAGGUCAUCAGAUAAGAGGUUGACUCUUUAUCUGCGCUUGAAUGUUUAUCACUACCGUUAGUAAACUGAUAUAAACCGAAUUUUCUGUUGCUGCUGUAAACUGAAUUUUGGCCACUUUGGAGCAUGUAAACUGAUAGUGCAGUCUCUCACAAAUAUACAGCACCCAGAGACGAAGAGAGCAUUAUGUACACAAUCAUCACGCACGAAGAAUUUGGAUACCAAUUAAUCAGAAGAGAGCUUAAAUCAGAGACGAAACCAUGGCAACGAAACAAAUCAACUCGUGGUAUACAGAUUUCGGAUCUUGCAAGACCUCCAGGGUAGGCAAAUGCCAUUUAUUCCAUGUUUUGAUCCUUUCUGGGCUGAGACAGCAGGUGGUACAAAGGGCCCAACAGCACAUGACAAACACCUACAAAGGUCNNNNNN